rnacentral:rRNA from 1 species
UGGAAGUAAAAAGUCGUAACAAGGUCUCUGUUGGUGAAACAGCGGAGGGAUCAUUGCUGGAACGCGCCCUAGGCGCACCCAGAAACCCUUUGUGAACUUAUACCUUACUGUUGCCUCGGCGCAUGCUGGCCCCCUCGGGGCCCCCUGGAGACAGGGAGCAGGCACGCCGGCGGCCAAGUUAACUCUUGUUUUUACACUGAAACUCUGAGAAAAAACACAAAUGAAUCAAAACUUUCAACAACGGAUCUCUUGGUUCUGGCAUCGAUGAAGAACGCAGCGAAAUGCGAUAAGUAAUGUGAAUUGCAGAAUUCAGUGAAUCAUGGAAUCUUUGAACGCACAUUGCGCCCUGUGGUAUUCCGGAGGGCAUGCCUGUUCGAGCGUCAUUUCAACCCUCAAGCAUUGCUUGGUGUUGGGGCACUGCUUUUAACGAAGCAGGCCCUGAAAUCUAGUGGCGAGCUCGCCAGGACCCCGAGCGCAGUAGUUAAACCCUCGCUUUGGAAGGCCCUGGCGGUGCCGUGCCGUUAAACCCCCAACUUCUGAAAGUUUGACCUCGGUCAGGAG